AAUACAUGCAAGUCGUACGCUUCUUUUUCCACCGGAGCUUGCUCCACCGGAAAAAGAAGAGUGGCGAACGGGUGAGUAACACGUGGGUAACCUGCCCAUCAGAAGGGGAUAACACUUGGAAACAGGUGCUAAUACCGUAUAACAAUCGAAACCGCAUGGUUUUGAUUUGAAAGGCGCUUUCGGGUGUCGCUGAUGGAUGGACCCGCGGUGCAUUAGCUAGUUGGUGAGGUAACGGCUCACCAAGGCCACGAUGCAUAGCCGACCUGAGAGGGUGAUCGGCCACAUUGGGACUGAGACACGGCCCAAACUCCUACGGGAGGNAGCAGUAGGGAAUCUUCGGCAAUGGACGAAAGUCUGACCGAGCAACGCCGCGUGAGUGAAGAAGGUUUUCGGAUCGUAAAACUCUGUUGUUAGAGAAGAACAAGGAUGAGAGUAACUGUUCAUCCCUUGACGGUAUCUAACCAGAAA
rnacentral:rRNA from 1 species